AUACUUACCUGGAUGGGGUCAAUGGGCGAUCAAUAAGACUCAUGGCCUAGGUUGGUGACCUCCAUUGCACUUUUUUGGAAGGGUGCUUGCCUAAGGUCGACCCAAGCGGUCGAACCUACAUCAUAAUUUGUGAUAGGGGGGCCUGCGUUCGCGCGGCCCCUAU
rnacentral:snRNA from 1 species